rnacentral:rRNA from 1 species
UGGGGAAUUUUGGACAAUGGGCGAAAGCCUGAUCCAGCAAUGCCGCGUGAGUGAAGAAGGCCUUCGGGUUGUAAAGCUCUUUUGUCAGGGAAGAAACGGUGAAGGCUAAUAUCUUUUGCUAAUGACGGUACCUGAAGAAUAAGCACCGGCUAACUACGUGCCAGCAGCCGCGGUAAUAUGUAGGGUGCAAGCGUUAAUCGGAAUUACUGGGCGUAAAGCGUGCGCAGGCGGUUUUGUAAGUCUGAUGUGAAAUCCCCGGGCUCAACCUGGGAAUUGCAUUGGAGACUGCAAGGCUAGAAUCUGGCAGAGGGGGGUAGAAUUCCACGUGUAGCAGUGAAAUGCGUAGAUAUGUGGAGGAACACCGAUGGCGAAGGCAGCCCCCUGGGUCAAGAUUGACGCUCAUGCACAAAAGCGUGGGGAGCAAACA